GCUUGCGUUGGCUGACAUAUACUAAAAUUGCAAUGUUACAGAGAUUAGCAUGGUUCCUGCACAAGGAUAAUGCGCAAAUUUGUGAAAUGCUCUGUAUUUUU
ensembl:snRNA U6 U6 spliceosomal RNA